rnacentral:rRNA from 1 species
UGGGGGAAUAUUGCACAAUGGGCGCAAGCCUGAUGCAGCCAUGCCGCGUGUGUGAAGAAGGCCUUCGGGUUGUAAAGCACUUUCAGCGAGGAGGAAGGUGGUGAACUUAAUACGUUCAUCAAUUGACGUUACUCGCAGAAGAAGCACCGGCUAACUCCGUGCCAGCAGCCGCGGUAAUACGGAGGGUGCAAGCGUUAAUCGGAAUUACUGGGCGUAAAGCGCACGCAGGCGGUUUGUUAAGUCAGAUGUGAAAUCCCCGGGCUCAACCUGGGAACUGCAUUUGAAACUGGCAAGCUAGAGUCUCGUAGAGGGGGGUAGAAUUCCAGGUGUAGCGGUGAAAUGCGUAGAGAUCUGGAGGAAUACCGGUGGCGAAGGCGGCCCCCUGGACGAAGACUGACGCUCAGGUGCGAAAGGCGUGAGGAGCAAACAGGAUUAGAUACCCUGGUAGUCCACGCUGUAAACGAUGUCGAUUUUGGAGGUUGUGCCCUUGAGGCGUGGCUUCCGGAGCUAACGCGUU